GUCCCUGUAGAGCAAUGGAUAGCUCAUUGGACUUCUAAUCCAAAGGUCAUGGAUUCGAAUUCCACCUGGGAUG
rnacentral:tRNA from 1 species